CCUACGGGGGGCUGCAGUGGGGAAUAUUGCACAAUGGGCGCAAGCCUGAUGGAGCCAUGCCGCGUGUGUGAAGAAGGCCUUCGGGUUGUAAAGCACUUUCAGCGGGGAGGGAGGCGUUAAGGUUAAUAACCUUGUCGAUUGACGUUACCCGCAGAAGAAGCACCGGCUAACUCCGUGCCAGCAGCCGCGGUAAUACGGAGGGUGCAAGCGUUAAUCGGAAUUACUGGGCGCAAAGCGCACGCAGGCGGUCUGUCAAGUCGGAUGUGAAAUCCCCGGGCUCAACCUGGGAACUGCAUUCGAAACUGGCAGGCUAGAGUCUUGUAGAGGGGGGUAGAAUUCCAGGUGUAGCGGUGAAAUGCGUAGAGAUCUGGAGGAAUACCGGUGGCGAAGGCGGCCCCCUGGACAAAGACUGACGCUCAGGUGCGAAAGCGUGGGGAGCAAACAGGAUUAGAUACCCUAGUAGUC
rnacentral:rRNA from 1 species